GAUGAAGAACGUAGCGAAAUGCGAUAAGUAAUGUGAAUUGCAGAAUUCAGUGAAUCAUCGAAUCUUUGAACGCACAUUGCGCCCGCCAGAAUACUGGCGGGCAUGCCUGUUCGAGCGUCAUUUCAACCCUCAAGCCCAGCUUGGUGUUGGGGAUCGGCACAGGCGCCCUCGGGCGCCCGCCGUCCCCUAAAUCUAGUGGCGGUCCCGCUGUAGCCUCCUCUGCGUAGUAGUUUUCUCCUCGCAAGGGCAGCUCGGUGGCGACCUCGCCGUAAAACCCCCAACUUCUGAAAGGUUGACCUCGAAUCAGGUAGGAAUACCCGCUGAACUUAAGCAUAUCAAUAAGCGGAGGA
rnacentral:misc_RNA from 1 species